CCCACGCAGUUAACCCGACUUUUAACGAUCAAUAUUAUUUUGGCCGUCUUUUCUGAGAUUUAUCCCGUCGUUAAUUAUGUUGCUUUGGCGCGUUUAUUUUUGCUCACUGCCGAAUUUUUUGCAAGCUUCACACGCAACCCCUCUCUUAAUUAAUUUACAGAGCCCUCCUCUCCCUUUUUUUUCUCUUCUUUCUCUCCCAAUCCCCUGUGACUCUUCGUCUUCUUCUUUUUCCCGCUUUCUCUACCCCACAAGAAAUCCCACCCACCGGAAGCCACACCCUACAGCCCGGCAGUUCAUCGACGCGCGUGAGCCCUCAGUCG
rnacentral:lncRNA from 1 species